rnacentral:rRNA from 1 species
GACAGAGGAUGCAAGCGUUGUCCGGAAUUAUUGGGCGUAAAGAGCUCGUAGGCGGUUUGUCGCGUCUGGUGUGAAAAUCCAGGGCUUAACCCUGGACCUGCAUCGGGUACGGGCAGACUAGAGUGCGGUAGGGGAGAUCGGAAUUCCUGGUGUAGCGGUGAAAUGCGUAGAGAUCGGAAAGAACACCAACGGCGAAAGCACUCUGCUGGGCCGACACUGACACUGAGAGACGAAAGCUAGGGGAGCGAAUGGG